rnacentral:lncRNA from 1 species
GUGGGGGAAUGUGGCUUAACUCAUGAUAGCAUUAUGUCCUUACCGUUCAAGGUACCCUUGAUGAUUUGGUCCCUGGACCAGGCAGAGCUGAAAACACAAGUGUCCCCUGGUGUCCAAGUAGAAGACCACACAUCUCCAAGGAGCUCAGUCCUCUAUUGGCAGCUUGGCUUCUAGGGGAAUGCUCAGAAAGUCUCCACAUGCUGUUUCUUCCUCUAAAGGCUGUUGAUGGCAUCAUGGUGAAUAACCACGGCUUGCUUCAUGCUGUUUUGCUUUCAAGUCUGAAAACUUCAUAUGAGAACCUCAGCCUGAAUCAUGUCGCUCCAGGAGCUGCUAUAAUGUACUUGACCAUUGAGAACCUGGAAAGGUUGUCUUCUAUUCACAACCAAGCUUGCUGGGCACAAUGGAAUCACUAUUUCAGAGGUAAGAGAAUGAUUUCAUCCCUACCAUGGCCUCACUAGAUGCCUAGACUGUGGUUCCUUGAUGACACACUUUUAUGAUUUUCUAACUGUAUUUGAAGCAGUUUCAGUGGUGACAUAUAAUAACAACUUAUUAAUUCUUUGAGGCAUGACGGGCAAGUCCUUCUUUACAUCCUAAAAUGUAGAUUAGAAAACCUAGAGCAUUGUUUCUGGACAAAGAAGGAAUUCAGGAACCUGGCGUACAUUGCAUGACUCCACUUUUGUUGCAACCUGUAUUUUAUUUUCCAUGCAGGGAUAUGCCUUACUUAAGAAUAAAGGUCAUAGAUGAAUAAUCCUGCUUGUUCGC